rnacentral:rRNA from 1 species
AUUGAACGCUGGCGGCAGGCCUAACACAUGCAAGUCGAACGAGUGGCGGACGGGUGAGUAAUGUCUGGGAAACUGCCUGUUGGAGGGGGAUAACUCCUGGAAACGGUAGCUAAUACCGCAUACCAUCGGAUCUGCCCAGAUGGGAUUAGCUAGUAGGUGGGGUAAAGGCUCACCUAGGCGCCGAUCCCUAGCGGGUCUGAGAGGAUGACCAGCCACACUGGAACUGGGACACGGUCCAGACUCCUACGGUAGGCAGCAGUGGGGAAUAUUGCAAAAUGGGCGAAAGCCGGAUGCAGCCAUGCCGCGUGUAAGAAGAAGUCCUUCGGGUUGUAAAGUACUUUCAGCGGGAAGGCGUUACCCGAAGAGGAAGCACCGGCUAACUCCGUGCCAGCAGCCGCGGUAAUUC